rnacentral:rRNA from 1 species
UAGGGAAUCUUCCACAAUGGGCGAAAGCCUGAUGGAGCAACGCCGCGUGUGUGAUAAAGGGUUUCGGCUCGUAAAACACUGUUGUAAGAGAAGAAUGACAUUGAGAGUAACUGUUCAAUGUGUGACGGUAUCUUACCAGAAAGGAACGGCUAAAUACGUGCCAG